GAUGAACGCUGGCGGCGUGCCUAAUACAUGCAAGUCGAGCGAACGGACGAGAAGCUUGCUUCCCUGAUGUUAGCGGCGGACGGGUGAGUAACACGUGGAUAACCUACCUAUAAGACUGGGAUAACUUCGGGAAACCGGAGCUAAUACCGGAUAAUAUUUUGAACCGCAUGGUUCAAAAGUGAAAGACGGUCUUGCUGUCACUUAUAGCUGGAUCCGCGCUGCAUUAGCUAGUUGGUAAGGUCACGGCUUACCAAGGCAACGAUGCAUAGCCGACCUGAGAGGGUGAUCGGCCACACUGGAACUGAGACACGGUCCAGACUCCUACGGGAGGCAGCAGUAGGGAAUCUUCCGCAAUGGGCGAAAGCCUGACGGAGCAACGCCGCGUGAGUGAUGAAGGCCUUCGGAUCGUAAAACUCUGUUAUUAGGGAAGAACAUAUGUGUAAGUAACUGUGGACAUCUUGACGGUACCUAAUCAGAAAGCCACGGCUAACUACGUG
rnacentral:rRNA from 1 species